rnacentral:rRNA from 1 species
GAACGCUGGCGGCAGGCUUAACACAUGCAACCUCCGAACGGUAGCAGGAGAAAGCUUGCUUUCUUGCUGACGAGUGGCGGACGGGUGAGUAAUGCUUGGGAAUCUGGCUUAUGGAGGGGGGUAACGACGGGAAACUGUCGCUAAUACCGCGUAUUAUCGGAAGAUGAAAGUGCGGGACUGAGAGGCCGCAUGCCAUAGGAUGAGCCCAAGUGGGAUUAGGUAGUUGGUGGGGUAAAGGCCUACCAAGCCUGCGAUCUCUAGCUGGUCUGAGAGGAUGACCAGCCACACUGGAACUGAGACACGGUCCAGACUCCUACGGGAGGCAGCAGUGGGGAAUAUUGCGCAAUGGGGGGAACCCUGACGCAGCCAUGCCGCGUGAAUGAAGAAGGCCUUCGGGUUGUAAAGUUCUUUCGGUAUUGAGGAAGGUUGAUGUGUUAAUAGUACAUCAAAUUGACGUUAAAUACAGAAGAAGCACCGGCUAACUCCGUGCCAGCAGCCGCGGUAAUACGGAGGGUGCGAGCGUUAAUCGGAAUAACCGGGCGUAAAGGGCACGCAGGCGGUUAUUUAAGUGAGGUGUGAAAGCCCUGGGCUUAACCUAGGAAUUGCAUUUCAGACUGGGUAACUAGAGUACUUUAGGGAGGGGUAGAAUUCCACGUGUAGCGGUGAAAUGCGUAGAGAUGUGGAGGAAUACCGAAGGCGAAGGCAGCCCCUUGGGAAUGUACUGACGCUCAUGUGCGAAAGCGUGGGGAGCAAACAGGAUUAGAUACCCUGGUAGUCCACGCUGUAAACGCUGUCGAUUUGGGGGUUGGGGUUUAACUCUGGCGCCCGUAGCUAACGUGAUAAAUCGACCGCCUGGGGAGUACGGCCGCAAGGUUA